rnacentral:rRNA from 1 species
GAAUGUUAUCACGGGAGACACACGGCGGGUGCUAACGUCCGUCGUGAAGAGGGAAACAACCCAGACCGCCAGCUAAGGUCCCAAAGUCAUGGUUAAGUGGGAAACGAUGUGGGAAGGCCCAGACAGCCAGGAUGUUGGCUUAGAAGCAGCCAUCAUUUAAAGAAAGCGUAAUAGCUCACUGGUCGAGUCGGCCUGCGCGGAAGAUGUAACGGGGCUAAACCAUGCACCGAAGCUGCGGCAGCGAACGUAUCACUUAAAGCGAUUCAGCGGGUUACGAUUGACGGAGCGAAGCGACGUCAAAGCGUAUACAAAGUCGAGUCGGUUUAAGGAUACGUUCGUUGGGUAGGGGAGCGUUCUGUAAGCCUGUGAAGGUGGCCUGUGAGGGUUGCUGGAGGUAUCAGAAGUGCGAAUGCUGACAUAAGUAACGAUAAAGCGGGUGAAAAGCCCGCUCGCCGGAAGACCAAGGGUUCCUGUCCAACGUUAAUCGGGGCAGGGUGAGUCGACCCCUAAGGCGAGGCCGAAAGGCGUAGUCGAUGGGAAACGGGUUAAUAUUCCCGUACUUGGUGUUACUGCGAAGGGGGGACGGAGAAGGCUAUGUUGGCCGGGCGACGGUUGUCCCGGUUUAAGCGUGUAGGUGUGUGUUCCAGGUAAAUCCGGUUCACUUUAACACUGAGGCGUGACGACGAGGCACUACGGUGCUGAAGCAACAAAUGCCCUGCUUCCAGGAAAAGCCUCUAAGCAUCAGGUAACAUCAAAUCGUACCCCAAACCGACACAGGUGGUCAGGUAGAGAAUACCAAGGCGCUUGAGAGAACUCGGGUGAAGGAACUAGGCAAAAUGGUGCCGUAACUUCGGGAGAAGGCACGCUGACACGUAGGUGAAGUGAUUUACUCACGGAGCUGAAGUCAGUCGAAGAUACCAGCUGGCUGCAACUGUUUAUUAAAAACACAGCACUGUGCAAACACGAAAGUGGACGUAUACGGUGUGACGCCUGCCCGGUGCCGGAAGGUUAAUUGAUGGGGUCAGCGCAAGCGAAGCUCCUGAUCGAAGCCCCGGUAAACGGCGGCCGUAACUAUAACGGUCCUAAGGUAGCGAAAUUCCUUGUCGGGUAAGUUCCGACCUGCACGAAUGGCGUAAUGAUGGCCAGGCUGUCUCCACCCGAGACUCAGUGAAAUUGAACUCGCUGUGAAGAUGCAGUGUACCCGCGGCAAGACGGAAAGACCCCGUGAACCUUUACUAUAGCUUGACACUGAACAUUGAGCCUUGAUGUGUAGGAUAGGUGGGAGGCUUUGAAGUGUGGACGCCAGUCUGCAUGGAGCCGACCUUGAAAUACCACCCUUUAAUGUUUGAUGUUCUAACGUGGACCCGUAAUCCGGGUUGCGGACAGUGUCUGGUGGGUAGUUUGACUGGGGCGGUCUCCUCCUAAAGAGUAACGGAGGAGCACGAAGGUUGGCUAAUCCUGGUCGGACAUCAGGAGGUUAGUGCAAUGGCAUAAGCCAGCUUGACUGCGAGCGUGACGGCGCGAGCAGGUGCGAAAGCAGGUCAUAGUGAUCCGGUGGUUCUGAAUGGAAGGGCCAUCGCUCAACGGAUAAAAGGUACUCCGGGGAUAACAGGCUGAUACCGCCCAAGAGUUCAUAUCGACGGCGGUGUUUGGCACCUCGAUGUCGGCUCAUCACAUCCUGGGGCUGAAGUAGGUCCCAAGGGUAUGGCUGUUCGCCAUUUAAAGUGGUACGCGAGCUGGGUUUAGAACGUCGUGAGACAGUUCGGUCCCUAUCUGCCGUGGGCGCUGGAGAACUGAGGGGGGCUGCUCCUAGUACGAGAGGACCGGAGUGGACGCAUCACUGGUGUUCGGGUUGUCAUGCCAAUGGCACUGCCCGGUAGCUAAAUGCGGAAGAGAUAAGUGCUGAAAGCAUCUAAGCACGAAACUUGCCCCGAGAUGAGUUCUCCCUGAGACUUAGAGUCUCCUGAAGGAACGUUGAAGACGACGACGUUGAUAGGCCGGGUGUGUAAGCGCAGCGAUGCGUUGAGCUAACCGGUACUAAUGAACCGUGAGGCUUAACCUUACAACGCCGAAG